rnacentral:rRNA from 1 species
AUUGAACGCUGGCGGCAGGCCUAACACAUGCAAGUCGAACGGAGUGGCGGACGGGUGAGUAAUGUCUGGGAAACUGCCUGAUGGAGGGGGAUAACUACUGGAAACGGUAGCUAAUACCGCAUACUAUCAGAUGAGCCUCGGUCGGAUUAGCUCGUUGGUGGGGUAAAGGCCGACCAAGGCGACGAUCCGUAACUGGUCGGAGAGGAUGAUGAGGCACACUGGAACUGAGACACGGUCCAGACUCGUACGAGAGGCAGCAGUGGGGAAUAUUGGACAAUGGGCGAAAGCCUGAUCCAGCCAUGCCGCGUGUGUGAAGAAGGUCUUCGGAUUGUAAAGCACUUUAAGUUGGGAGGCGUUACCAACAGAAUAAGCACCGGCUAACUUCGUGCCAGCAACCGCGGUAAUAC